GACGUAGGGCGCGAGCGUUGUCCGGAAUUAUUGGGCGUAAAGAGCUCGUAGGCGGUCAGUCGCGUCUGCUGUGAAAACUCGGGGCUUAACUCCGGGCCUGCAGUGGGUACGGGCUGACUAGAGUGCGGUAGGGGAGACUGGAAUUCCUGGUGUAGCGGUGAAAUGCGCAGAUAUCAGGAGGAACACCGGUGGCGAAGGCGGCUCUCUGGGACGGUACUGACGCUGAGACGCGAAAGCGUGGGGAGCGAACAGG
rnacentral:rRNA from 1 species